UAAAACUUGCACUAUACUACAAUGCAUCUCCUGAAUGCAACUCAAGCACUUUAAUUAAGCUAAAGCUU
rnacentral:tRNA from 1 species